GGGUAUAUAGCUCAAGUGGUAGAGCACAUGCUUAGCAUAAACACGAUCCUGGGUUCAAUCCCCAGUACCUCCU
rnacentral:tRNA from 1 species